UACAGAGGGUGCGAGCGUUGUCCGGAAUCACUGGGCGUAAAGGGCGCGUAGGUGGCGCUGCAAGUCGGUGGUGAAAGCUCGAUGCUUAACAUCGAGUCGGCCAUCGAAACUGCAGGGCUCGAGCACUGUAGGGGCAGAUGGAAUUCCGGGUGUAGCGGUGGAAUGCGUAGAGAUCCGGAAGAACACCAGUGGCGAAGGCGGUCUGCUGGGCAGUAGCUGACACUGAUGCGCGACAGCGUGGGGAGCAAACAGGG
rnacentral:rRNA from 1 species